rfam:Ajellomyces capsulatus G186AR genomic scaffold supercont2.7, whole genome shotgun sequence.
GGGCAAUUGGUUUAGUGGUAUAAUACCCCCUUAGCAGUUCCAAAAAGGUUGCUGUAAAAACAUUGGGGGUGGUCCAGGGUUCGAUUCCCUGAUUGUCCA